rnacentral:rRNA from 1 species
GUCGUAACAAGGUUUCCGUAGGUGAACCUGCGGAAGGAUCAUUACCUAGAGUUUGCAGACUUCGGUCUGCUACCUCUUACCCAUGUCUUUUGAGUACCUUCGUUUCCUCGGCGGGUCCGCCCGCCGAUUGGACAACAUUCAAACCCUUUGCAGUUGCAAUCAGCGUCUGAAAAAACAUAAUAGUUACAACUUUCAACAACGGAUCUCUUGGUUCUGGCAUCGAUGAAGAACGCAGCGAAAUGCGAUAAGUAGUGUGAAUUGCAGAAUUCAGUGAAUCAUCGAAUCUUUGAACGCACAUUGCGCCCCUUGGUAUUCCAUGGGGCAUGCCUGUUCGAGCGUCAUUUGUACCUUCAAGCUCUGCUUGGUGUUGGGUGUUUUGUCUCGCCUCCGCGUGUAGACUCGCCUUAAAACAAUUGGCAGCCGGCGUAUUGAUUUCGGAGCGCAGUACAUCUCGCGCUUUGCACUCAUAACGACGACGUCCAAAAGUACAUUUUUACACUCUUGACCUCGGAUCAGGUAGGGAUACCCGCUGAACUUAAGCAUAUCAAU